CCUACGGGUGGCAGCAGUCGAGAAUCAUUCACAAUGGGGGAAACCCUGAUGGGGCGACGCCGCGUGGGGGAAUGAAGGUCUGCGGAUUGUAAACCCCUGUCAUGUGGGAGCAAAUUAAAAAGAUAGUACCACAAGAGGAAGAGACGGCUAACGCUGUGCCAGCAGCCGCGGUAAGACAGAGGUCUCAAGCGUUGUGCGGAACCACUGGGCGUAAAGGGUGCGUAGGCUGUUUCGUAAGGCGUGUGUGAAAGGCGCGGGCUCAACCCGCGGACGGCACCUGAUACUGCGAGACUAGAGUAAUGGAUGGGGAACCGGACUUCUCGUUGUAGCCGU
rnacentral:rRNA from 1 species